rnacentral:rRNA from 1 species
UCUUCCGCAAUUGACGAAAGUCUGACGGAGCAACGCCGCGUGAGUGAUGAAGGUUUUCGGAUCGUAAAACUCUGUUGUUAGGGAAGAACAAGUACCGUUCGAAUAGGGCGGUACCUUGACGGUACCUUACCAGAAAGCCACGGAUAACUACGUGCCAGCAGCUGCGGUAAUACGUAGGUGGUAAGCGUUGUCCGGAAUUAUUGGGCGUAAAGCGCGCGCAGGCGUUUUCUUAAGUCUGAUGUGAAAGCCCCCGGCUCAACCGGGGAGGGUCAUUGGAAACUGGGGAACUUGAGUGCAGAAGAGGAGAGUGGAAUUCCACGUGUAGCGGUGAAAUGCGUAGAGAUGUGGAGGAACACCAGUGGCGAAGGCGACUCUCUGGUCUGGAACUGACGCUGAGGCGCGAAAGCGUGGGGAGCGAACAG